rnacentral:lncRNA from 1 species
UUCAAGAUUUCCUCGAGCUGUACAAAGCGGAUGUGCCUUUCUAAGAAACAUAGUGACUCUCACUCUUCGAGCACUGCUAAUUUCCCUUUUUCCAAUUCACGUUAUUCUAAGCAUUGUUCAAUAUCAAAUCAUGCUACUUCUUUUGUGAGUGCGAUGUUAUUUUAGGUACUUGGAAGUGGGAUCACCAAGCGGACAUGGGAGUCAAUCGUCAGACAUGCCAGCCCCUGUGUGAUCAACGAUGACGAUGUAUUUCUACCAAGCUUUGAACAAGGCCAGUAUAGUGUUCAAUUCGGUCAUGAAAGUUGCUCAAGUAGCACUCG